AAAAAAAAGGUUGAUGCGAGCAGAAAAGGUCAUGGCUGAUGUGCAAUGGCGGCCGGGAAUAUGAUAAAUUUCGUUUCAUUAUCGACCGUCACUGGAUAGCGGCCCAGAACCAGCUACUCCCACCGAUGCCAUCCACGGUAUCUCGCCUUCUCUCCUUUCUCCUUCCCCCGCUUUCGGGCCGCUGUGAACGCAUCCUCAUCUCCCCUUUCUCGGCCGCCGCGCUGCACUGCAAGCACCUUUGGUCCACCGCCGCCUCCUUCCGCUGGUGUGAACCCCUUGCUCCGCCGCCCGUCGCUGCCGUUACCCAUCCCCUUCUCGUCGCCGGAGAUUAACCCAAACUCGUCGUGCUUCCUUUCCCUUCCUUCCGAAUCUUCCCUUCGUAAAACCCUAAACCCUACUACUUAUCAAUCACCCACUCGAAAUCUCAACCUUAGCUCCCUUCCUCCAGCUUUUCUAAUGUGCCGGAUGGUUCCGAUCGGUUUUGUUCCGAAAAGAUUAAUCUCUACUCUAAACCCUAGUUCUAAUCUCGCUGCUUGCCAGCAUUCCCUUCUUAUCUUCUCAUCUGAAUCUGUUGUGAAUCCCAAUCUCUCUUCACUUUCUGCCCCAAAUUCUGAUCCUAAUUAUCGUCAUUUUCUUUCAAAACUCCCAUUUCUAUCCCCAUUCGAUGUUAAACGGCCAGUUGGGUUGUUUUCAACCCUUUAUCCUGUAAUCUACAAGGCAUCAGGAACAAGAAUCCUGGCUGUGCUUUCGAAAUCUAGCUUCCCACAUCCACGGUCUAUUAGAUUUUGCUUUCAUUUGUUUUCGAGUUAUUCUCGUACAUCUUCUAAGAGACCCGGUGUUCCUAAUACUUUUGGAAGAUCCGGAAUGACUGAACGAAAACCUAGGCUUCAUAAUGUGGGAGUAGAUCCAAAUAAGGUGCUUGAGAUUGUCGAAAUGAUUAGAGGAGAUGCAAGUGAUUUGGAAUCAAAGUUGAAUCAGAUAAAUUUGAGGCUUUCCCAUGCUUUAGUUGCCGAGAUUCUUCAUGUUUUGAAUGAUCGUGGCAUUUUGGCAUUACGUUUCUUUAAUUGGGUUUUGAAUUCUGGCCAGCAUUUUAGGCCUACUGCAGGAAUUUACAAUCAGAUUGUAAACAAUCUUGGUCGGUCAGAUGAUUUUGAAACUAUGUUCCAAAUGUUAUGCGGGCUCUCUUCAAAGGGGCAUUGUCUCAACGAAAAGGCUUUUAGUUUUUUGACUCGCAGUUCUAUUAGCCUUAAGGAUUCCAUCAGCAAAAUCAUAGAAACACUAAAUGGAGUUGGAGGGUCAUGUCGAGGGUCUGGAAUUUACUCAGUGAUUAAGGUGCUCUGUGCGAUUAAUGCCUUUCAUCUUGCCAUCUUUGUAAUGGAAGAGACAGCAAGAAAGACUUCUUACUACCAUGUGCUUAUUGCAGCAAAGUGUCGGAAUGGUGAUUUCCAAGGGGCCCAAGAUUUACUUGAUGAGAUGAGAACAUUUGGUUGCAACCCGAGUACCAAAUCAUAUAAUUAUCUGUUAGGGAGCCUGUUUAAGAACAAGAGGGUUGUUGAAGCUUGUGAGUUGCUCAAAACAAUGGAAGAAUUGGGUUACCUUCCAGAUACUGUUACUUUCGACAUGGUCAUAAUUCAUGCAUGUAAGGCCAAUAGGAUGGAUUUUGCAAUUGAGUUCCUUAACCAGAUUUUGUCUGAAGGGAUUAAGCCAAGGAUGGCAAUGCAUGCAGCAUUCAUAAAGGGAUAUUUUUGGUCGGGGCGAGUGGAAGAUGCAUACAAGUAUGUGGUUGAUAUGAGUGUGAAGGAUAAGUGCUCAAGCAAUGUGAAUUACAGCUUACUUGCCAGCCUUUUCCAUGUAUCAGGGAGGGUGGUAGAAGCAGGCAGGGUUCUUCAUGAGAUGAUGGAGAAGGGACUGAAACCCAAUUUCCCUGUUUAUAUGAGAGUAGCAAAAGAUUUACACAAAAUGGCUAGGGGAGAUUUGGCUUCAGAAUUAAAAUCUAUAUUUCUGAGGUUUACUCAAGCACAGAUGCUGGAUGAUGUUUCUUGACAAUUUAUAUCUCAAUUUUGUAUGGAUUCAGACAAUUCCAUUCUGAACUGUGUGUAUGAUGAUGAGGAGGCAGCUGUUCAUGCCUGUGAUCUUGCUGCUCUAAAGUAUUGGGGAUGAGGAACUAUUCUUAACUUACCUGAAAACACGUAUCUAAAUGAGUGCCAGGAGAUGCAAAGCAUGUCCAAGAUUGAUUAUGUAGCUUCUCUUUGACGUAGUAGCAAUGGAUUUACCAUAUAUA